rnacentral:rRNA from 1 species
AGAGUUUGAUCAUGGCUCAGAAUGAACGCUGGCGGCGUGCUUAACACAUGCAAGUCGAGCGAGGCCUGGGGGGCAACUCCCAGAGUCGAGCGGCGGACGGGUGAGUAACACGUGGGUAACCUGCCCGGAAGUGGGGAAUACCUCGGGGAAACUCGAGCUAAUACCGCAUGACAUCUUCGGGACGAAAGUCCUGACGAUCAAAGCGGGGUCGCAAGAUCUCGCGCUACCGGAUGGGCCCGCGCCCGAUUAGCUAGUUGGUGAGGUAACGGCUCACCAAGGCUUCGAUCGGUAACCGGCCUGAGAGGGCGAUCGGUCACACCGGAACUGAGACACGGCCCGGACUCCUACGGGAGGCAGCAGUGGGGAAUCUUGCGCAAUGGGCGAAAGCCUGACGCAGCAACGCCGCGUGGAGGAUGAAGGCCCUUGGGUUGUAAACUCCUGUCGGCUGGGAAGAAAUCGUACGGUGCUCAUACCACCGUGCGUUGACUGUACCAGCAAAGGAAGCCCCGGCUAACUCUGUGCCAGCAGCCGCGGUAAUACAGAGGGGGCUAGCGUUAUUCGGAAUUAUUGGGCGUAAAGGGCGCGUAGGCGGCUCUGCGUGUCUUCCGUGAAAUCCCUCGGCUCAACUGAGGACGUGCGGAAGAAACUGCAGGGCUCGAGUCCGGGAGAGGGGGGUGGAAUUCCCAGUGUAGCGGUGAAAUGCGUAGAUAUUGGGAGGAACACCGGUGGCGAAGGCGGCCCCCUGGACCGGUACUGACGCUGAGGCGCGAAAGCGUGGGGAGCAAACGGGAUUAGAUACCCUAGUAGUCC